UCGAAUGUGAGAUUUGUGCCGAAA
rnacentral:siRNA from 1 species